AACGACUCUCGGCAACGGAUAUCUUGGCUCUCGCAUCGAUGAAGAACGUAGCGAAAUGCGAUACUUGGUGUGAAUUGCAGAAUCCCGUGAACCAUCGAGUUUUUGAACGCAAGUUGCGCUCCAAGCCUUCGGGCCGAGGGCACGCUUGUCUGGGCGUCACGC
rnacentral:rRNA from 1 species